rnacentral:rRNA from 1 species
GACGAACGCUGGCGGCGUGCUUAACACAUGCAAGUCGAACGGAGUGGCGAACGGGUGAGUAACACGUGGGUGAUCUGCCUUGCACUUCGGGAUAAGCUUGGGAAACUGGGCCUACACCGGGAUAGUGAAAGAUAAGCUCGCGGCCUAUCAGCUUGUUGGUGGGGUAAUGGCCUACCAAGGCGUCGACGGGUAGCCGGCCUGAGAGGGUGUACGGCCACAUUGGGACUGAGAUACGGCCCAGACUCCUACGGGAGGCAGCAGUGUGGAAUAUUGCACAAUGGGCGGAAGCCUGAUGCAGCGACGCCGCGUGGGGGAUGAAGGCCUUCGGGUUGUAAACUCCUUUCGACAGGGACGCGGUACCUGUAUAAGAAGCACCGGCUAACUACGUGCCAGCAGCCGCGGUAAUAC